rnacentral:rRNA from 1 species
CCUACGGGUGGCAGCAGUGAGGAAUAUUGGUCAAUGGGCGCGAGCCUGAACCAGCCAAGUAGCGUGAAGGAUGACUGCCCUACGGGUUGUAAACCUCUUUUGUAAAGGAAUAAAGUCGGGCACGCGUGCCUGUUUGUAUGUACUUUAUGAAUAAGGAUCGGCUAACUCCGUGCCAGCAGCCGCGGUAAUACGGAGGAUGCGAGCGUUAUCCGGAUUUAUUGGGUUUAAAGGGUGCGUAGGUGGUUUGUUAAGUCAGUUGUGAAAGGUUGCGGCUCAACCGUAAAAUUGCAAUUGAUACUGGCAGUCUGGAGUACAGUAGAGGUAGGCGGAAUGCGUGGUGUAGCGGUGAAAUGCAUAGAUAUCGCGAAGAACUCCGAUUGCGAAGGCAGCUUAC